rnacentral:rRNA from 1 species
AACGAACGCUGGCGGCAGGCCUAACACAUGCAAGUCGAGCGCGCCCUCCGGGCUAAUGGGCGGUGGUGGGAGGAAGGCCUGGGAACGUGCCCUUUACUAAGGAAUAGCCGCGGGAAACUGAGAGUAAUAACGUAUGCGCGCAUUGGGGUAAUGAGUUAUCGGAAUAGGGUCGGCCCGGGCUGGAUUAGGUGGUUGGGGGGGGUAUGGCCUAACAACGGGGCGAUGCAGAGCUGGUGUGAGAGGAUGACCAGCCACAAUGGGACUGAGACACGGCCCAGACUCCUACGGGAGGCUGCAGUGGGGAAUACUAGACAAUGGAGACAAGCCUGAUCUAGCCAUGCCGCGUAAGUGAUGAAGGCCUUAGGGAUGCAAAGCCCUCUCAGCUGGGCAGAUAAUGACGGUACCAGGAGAAGAAGCUCCGGCUAACUCCGUG